UACGUAGGCAGCGAGCGUUGUUCGGAGUUACUGGGCGUAAAGCGUGCGCAGGCGGUUGUGUAAGCCAGGUGUGAAAUCCCCGGGCUUAACCUGGGAAUGGCAUUUGGGACUGCACGGCUAGAGUACGGCAGAGGAGACUAGAAUUCCUGGUGUAGCAGUGAAAUGCGUAGAUAUCAGGAGGAAUACCGAUGGCGAAGGCAGGUCUCUGGGUCGAUACUGACGCUCAUGCACGAAAGCGUGGGGAGCAAACAGG
rnacentral:rRNA from 1 species